GUAUUUAGAAUUAUUUCAUUCAAAAAUAGCUUCAGACAAAAAAUUUCAAUAAAAAAGUUGGUAUUGGUGCUGACGCGAACGCACGAAACGAUCGCAUCAGCAAACAUUGCACACAAGGUGAGUACUUAUUUUAAAAAGUGCAGUAGAACACUUAUUAUGAAUGAUCCUUCCGCAGGUUCACCUACGGAAA
rnacentral:misc_RNA from 1 species